rnacentral:lncRNA from 1 species
GUGAUGGACCGCCUGGCACCCCGACCAGGUACCUCCAUCAAUCGCUGCUUCCUAGUACUUGUAAGUACCAUUACCACCGUAGAACCCACGAACCGCCGCAGCUUUGUUGGGGUCUAGCCGUCCUCCACCCACCCAGGACCCAAGACCAGGAUCCUGCUUCCAGUGGGUAGACCUCUCCUAGUCCAGAGAGUCAAGCAGGAACAGCUCUUAUAAGAGCAAGUGAUUAUACUCAGGGGAGUAUUGUGAUAUAGCAAUCCCCAGAGUGAAUGUAAUUCUUCAAUUCCCCAAACAUGAGCUAAGACUUCAUGAAGGGAUAAACAAAUCCCUCUUUAAUGGGAGCCACACUGGCCUUUUAUGCAAGUCCCUAAGCAAGGUGUACACCCACAUGGACAGGUGGGGACAGGGCAGAAACUUACAAACCAGAUUCCAUAGCGCUGUACAAUAAUAACACAUUUACAAUGUAAGGCACUCCCAUACACAGCACACAAUCCCUCCCAUCUGCUUGGGAGAUAAUUGGAUCAGUAACUGUACUAAUUCUAAUCCAAUUAUCUCCAAGCACAGAAAAAAUGCCCCAAAAGUACCCCAAAGAUACAUAAAACUCCAUAAAUGUUACAUUCCCUGAUAGCCCUCAUCUGGGUGACCAACAUAUCCAAAAAUCACCCAGCUCAGUUUAGGGGUUCAGGAAUUUCCUGGAAGUCUUAUUUGUGACCAACCGUGCACAUGGUCCUAUGCCCAAAACAAUUCCUGGGAAUCAGGGCUAACGGUCGGUGUGGUGACAUUCUGUCAUCAAACUAAUAUGGUGACCAGGGAUCACGUGACCAAGCUCUUACAGUGGGAUAAGCUUUACCUUUUGAUAUGGAAAUGGAGUAAUUCAAUACCUUUCAGGAAAAAGAUAACCACUUCCCCCUUUCUCCAUUCCUCUCUGUUCCUUCUUGGCUGUGCUACUGAACAGUCCCUUAAGCAGACAUGGCCUAAUUUCUAUCAUGGUGAACUGUGAGUGGGAUCUGGUGAUUUUAUAAGAUGUAGUUGUUAUCGUUAGUUAGGUUGUUGUUGCUGUUGUUGUUGGUAUAAUUAGAUUGUGUGUCAUUAUUUGUAUGUUGUUGUUGUUUUGUCUCUGAAUAAAUAUUUGUUAAAGUAGACGGACCAGAGUUUAUAUGUGUAUGCGUACAUAAUAAUUUAUAGAGUUUGGUAAUACACCACAGUCGGUCUCUCUGUCUGCAGUACAAAAGUACAUAACUCACAUGAACAGAGCCUUUUAAAGUAUUUUAGCCAGAUCUAUUGCAGGGGCCAUAGUCACAGGGUAGGAGGCUGGCAAACAGGCCCAGAUCUGAGCACAGUAGAUAGGCGAAUAGUGCUCAGAUCUCACGAACGGUAUAGCCAGUCUUUUUCAUACAAAGUCUUUUCGUGCCUUUUUGUCCCGAACACGAGAUGGCGGCCAUGUUUUCAGGCGGGUGAAUAGAGAGCGGGACCUGGCCCUAAAACCCCUGGAGCGAGUAACGGAUAAACAGUUGCGCGAAUACAGUUCAGUGGAUGGUUGUCCCAGCCCUUCGUGAGCCGAACAGAGACCGCCAUGAAGGGGGUACUUAGCUUGCGGUUAACUGCAGACCCAACGUUCUAAUUGGGGCCACACGCCUGAGUGUAGGUGGUCCUCGUUCGGGAGUUUCAGUUCGAUGAAUUAUUAUCCGAACAAGGCCAUCCUGAGGCAGUCAAUUAGGCUUGUGGUUAACCGCAGACCACAGCUCUCAGGUGGUCAAUUGGAAGCACACUUCGCUUGUAAAAUGGUUGGCCGUUCGGUUGUUUCAGAGGUGAAAGAGGUUAAGUGUCGGCACACGCCAAGGGCCGGGUGGUCUUUGUUCGUAUGCACAAAUACAUAGUCCUGACUGUUCGUGUAAUGUGUUUAUCCAGUAAUACUACCGAAACAGAGUAUACGGUACAAUAAAACAAGAUAAUCCAGUAACUAUCUGUAGAGCACCCGUAACAGGGGAGAUUGUCACAGUAAGUGUUCUCUCUGUGUGGUCGUAGUUCGUACAAACGAAUGCCACUUAGUGGAGAAAAAGGCAGCCAUGUUGUCACACGAAAGCAUGCAGCGGGACUCUGUAGUCUAGUGUGGAAACUCUAAAGGUGGAAACUCGACGGCGCGAACACCGGUAAAAAAUGUUUGCGGCAAGCCAGGAGAGCACUAUUCGGUACGUUUGCUCAUAUGGACUUCAUGAACAAAUGCUACCAAUGAGCCAGGGGAACAGUUCCCCUUUUCAUUUGUUUUGGAACUCCCUAACAUGACCAACCAGUGGCGUACACACAACCUAUGGGGCCCCGGUGCGAAAACUGAUCCGUGCUUACUCGGGGGCUGGGGCUGCAACACAAGGUGGCGGGAACUUGGUCGCAGGGGUCGAAGGGCUGCGACCCCUGCGUCCGCGGUAUGUACGCCAGUGCAUGUAGAUACACACACACUUAAAGGACCACUACAGACACCCAGAUCACAUCAGCUCAAUUAAGUGGUCUGGGUGCCAGGACCCUCUAGUUUUAACCCUGCAACUGAAAACAUAGCAAAGAAACUGCAAUGUUUCACUGAGGGUUAAUCCAGCCUCUAGUGGCUGUCUCAUUCACAGCCGCUAGAGGAGCUUCCGCGAUUCUCACUGGGAAAAUCACAGUGAGAAGACACUGAACGUCCAUAGGAAAGUAUUGAGUAAUGCUUUCCUAUGGGCGGUUUGAAUGUGUGCGUGGCUCUUGCCACGCAUGCGCAUUCGGAGCUGAGAGGCGGAUCAGGGCGGAGAGAUCCCCAGCGCUGGAGAAAGGUAAGUGCUUAAGACACACACACACACACACUCUCACGAACAGACGCAUACACACUAGCUAACAGACACACACAUGUACUGACAGAGACACACUCAGCGACAGACAUACAUACACACUCACAAAACAUACACUCACUAACAGACGCACACAAACUAACACACUCAGUAACACUCACUGACACACUAACACUAACACCCACACUCUAAUACUAACACACACUCUAACACAUAGUGCAUCCUGCUGUUAUCUUUUCCAAGUUAAAUGCCGCACACACACCCAGCCAUCCACCUAAUCUAAAUGAAAACAUGAUUUAUCAGACCAAGCAACCUUCUUCCAUUGCUCCAUGGUCUAGCUUCAAACACAGCAAAUUAUGAUACACUGUGUGUUCUGACAUCUUUCUAUCAUGACCAGCAUAACAUUUAUCUAUAUUUAACAUUUCUCUAGUAGCUCUUUUGUGUGAUUGUUGAGGCUUUUGAAAGGUGGUUCCCAGGAGGCAGUAGUAAGUCAAAUGCGAGGUACUGAACAGGGAUGAGAAAACCUGAGUCAGGGAAAGCAGAGGUCAGGGCCAGCAGCACCGGUUCAGAAAUGCAGUCAAGGAUCA